UACGUAGGGGGCAAGCGUUGUCCGGAUUUAUUGGGCGUAAAGAGCGUGUAGGCGGCCAUGUAGGUCCGUUGUGAAAACUCGAGGCUCAACCUCGAGACGCCGAUGGAAACCAUGUGGCUAGAGUCCGGAAGAGGAGAGUGGAAUUCCUGGUGUAGCGGUGAAAUGCGCAGAUAUCAGGAAGAACACCCGUGGCUAAGGCGGCUCUCUGGGCCGAUACUGACGCUGAGACGCGAAAGCGUGGGGAGCAAACAGG
rnacentral:rRNA from 1 species